CCUACGGGAGGCAGCAGUGGGGGAUAUUGCACAAUGGGGGAAACCCUGAUGCAGCGACGCCGCGUGGGUGAAGAAGUAUUUCGGUAUGUAAAGCCCUAUCAGCAGGGAAGAAAGAAGACGGUACCUGACUAAGAAGCCCCGGCUAACUACGUGCCAGCAGCCGCGGUAAUACGUAGGGGGCGAGCGUUAUCCGGAUUCACUGGGGGUAAAGGGAGCGUAGACGGCCGUGCAAGCCAGGAGUGAAAGCCCGGGGCCCAACCCCGGGACUGCUCUUGGAACUGUGCGGCUGGAGUGCGGGAGGGGCAGGCGGAAUUCCGGGUGUAGCGGUGAAAUGCGUAGAUAUCAGGAGGAACACCGGCUGCGAAGGCGGCCUGCUGGACCGCGACUGACGUUGAGGCUCGAAAGCGUGGGGAGCGAACAGGAUUAGAUACCCGAGUAGUC
rnacentral:rRNA from 1 species